UCUCCGUACCGGCGACGCAUCUUUCAAAUGUCUGCCUUAUCAACUGUCGAUGGUAGGUUCCAUGCCUACCAUGGUGGUAACGGGUAACGGGGAAUCAGGGUUCGAUUCCGGAGAGGGAGCCUGAGAAACGGCUACCACAUCCAAGGAAGGCAGCAGGCGCGCAAAUUACCCACUCCCGGAACGGGGAGGUAGUGACGAAAAAUAACGAUACGGGACUCAUCCGAGGCCCCGUAAUCGGAAUGAGAACACUUUAAAACCUUUAAACGAGGAUCAAUUGGAGGGCAAGUCUGGUGCCAGCAGCCGCGGUAAUUCCAGCUCCAAUAGCGUAUAUUAAAGUUGUUGCGGUUAAAAAGCUCGUAGUCGGAUCUGUGUCUGGACGGUGCCGGACCACCCUGGCGGUCCGUCGUGUCGCGGCCGGCCGUGUCGCGGGACCACGUGUCCCGUCGGCGCGGUCGCCGUCGCGCUCGUCAGCCGUCUCGGGGUGUUAGUUACCGGCACGUCGGCCGGACGUAUUGUCGGCAGGCGGACACGUGUCUCGUGCUUCCGGCGCGCCGCGCGGCCACGCGUCGCGCGGCCGUCGGUGUUCGACGACGGCGGCCGCCUACUCCAAUCUUGCUGCGCGGUGCUCUUCACCGAGUGCCGUCGGCGGGCCGACACGUUUACUUUGAACAAAUUAGAGUGCUCAAAGCAGGCUCGAAUCUGGCGGGGCGGCUUCACGGCCGUCUCGUCAAAAGGCCCUGAAUACUGGUCGCAUGGAAUAAUGGAACAAGACCUCGGUCCCGCGCAUCUCCGCCCUUCGCGGGCGCGCGAAAUCGCCCUCCGGGGCGUUUCCGUGCGCGGGCCGCCGGGGCCGCGGGCGCCAGUCGCCCGCGCGUCCCGCCGGGCCGGGUUUUCGGGACCGGAGGUAAUGAUCAACAGAGACGGGCGGGGGCAUUCGUACCGAGACGUUAGAGGUGAAAUUCUUGGAUCGUCUCGAGACGAACUGACGCGAAAGCAUUUGCCAAGUACGUUCUCGUAUGAUCAAGAACGAAAGUUAGAGGUUCGAAGGCGAUCAGAUACCGCCCUAGUUCUAACUGUAAACGAUGCCAGCUAGCGAUCCGCCGGCGUUUCAUUAACGACCCGGCGGGCAGCUUCCGGGAAACCGAAGCUUUUCGGUUCCGGGGGAAGUAUGAUUGCAAAGUUGAAACUUAAAGGAAUUGACGGAAGGGCACCACCAGGAGUGGAGCCUGCGGCUUAAUUUGACUCAACACGGGAAACCUCACCAGGCCCGGACACCGGAAAGAUUGACAGAUUGAGAGCUCUUUCUUGAUUCGGUGGGUGGUGGUGCAUGGCCGUUCUUAGUUGGUGGAGCGAUCUGUCUGGUUAAUUCCGAUAACGAACGAGACUCUGUCCUGCUAACUAGGCGGGUAAACCCGGGUCGGCGUGUGCGCGGCGCUGGCGGUUUCGGCCGUCAGUGUUCGCGUACCCGUCGGCUCGGCCCGGUAUCCCCGAACGCGUUCGCCCGUCGUCCACGGCGGUCGUCGGGCGCGGCCGCGCCAUCCGCGUCCCGGCGUUCGGCGGGCGUAUGUCGGCCGGGGGGCAACCUCCGGUCGGCCUGCGUCCGUCGUGCGUCGGGCUCCGUGGUGAAGCGCGCCGUGUUCGCGGCCGUCGCCGGCGGAUCACGAUACGUUACUAGGGCUACCGCCGGCUCCCAGGAGCUUAAACU
rnacentral:lncRNA from 1 species